rnacentral:tRNA from 1 species
GGAUUGUGGCUCAGUGGCAGAGUGCCCGCCUAGCAUGGGUGGGACCUGGUUCGAUCCUCAGCACCA